UAUCCACUUGCUUACACAAAAACAGAUGAGUGGCCGCAAAGCCAACAAAUUAAUAUUAACAGUUGACAGAAAGGCACAAAUUAUGUUAACCGAAAGACAAUUAGAUUAGUAUCUUGAAAGAGAUUUAGUUUUUAUUCAACUUUGGUAUUAUUGGAAGUCGGUUUUUGAAUAUUAAGGGAAGCUUAUGGUCCUUAAUUUAAGGGGAUUGUCCUUAGGUUGUCAACUUCUUCCCUUAAUUCAAGGGGCUGUUAUUUAUUUUCCCUAAGCCAGACAACUUCCUUAAUUUAAGGGUGUCAACUUCUUAUUCUAAGUUGUCAACUCCCUUAAUUUAAGGGGCUGUUAUUUAUUUUUCCUAAGCCACCUGUUGUGGAGUAAAGCAAGAGGUUAAUCCUCUUAUAUAUUGUUGUACAAUUGUAAAAGAACUCAUGAGUGAAAUACAAUUCAAUCCUUGAAAAUCAACAUGGUAUCAGAGCAGGAAAAUUAACCUGCGUCUACUAUAUUGCUAUCCGAGCGUGUUCAACCCUCAAAAUGUCUGAAGACAAUCUGCUGAUAUCCGAAGCUGAAAGCUCACAGGUGCCUUCCUCCAUGAACGUGUAUAAGGUGGACGUCAACCCAAAUCAAAGAUUAAGCUUAGUUGUGUUGAAUGAGUUUAAUUACUUGCCUUGGUCGAGAGUUGUGUCUUUGGCGAUAGGUGGAAGGUCCAAGCUGGGGUUCAUAAAUGGAAGCAUUAAAGUACCUGAUGCUUCCUCAUCAAACUAUGAAUCUUGGCUUAGCAAGGAUCAGCUGGUUAUGUCAUGGCUCUUGAAUUCCAUGGAACGUAAAUUAGCUGAAAUAUUCAGCUACUCAGAAUCCUCGUACCAGCUAUGGGAAGCGGUCAAGGAAAUGUAUGGCAGCCAAAACAAUGCUGCACGGGUCUUCCAAUUAAAGAAGGACAUCUCCGAUCUGCAGCAAGAUGGCAAAUCGUUUGUGCAACUCCUAGGAAGCAUGAAAAACAUGUGGAAUGAGUUGGAAAUCUAUCGCCCUCAUACAACCGACGCAACACUGCUACGAAAGAGAGAAGAAGAAGACAAGAUAUUUCAACUCUUGUCCAGUCUUGAUUCAACAUAUGAAGACCUUCGAUGUUACAUACUCAUGAACACUGAGCUUUCUUCCUUCACCAGUGUGUGUGCGACGAUUCAACGGGAAGAAGUAAGGAGGAAAGUAAUGAACAUGGGUACAACGACUAGUGUAGGGCAUAUAUAACCAACGAAAAGAGGUACAAAGGAAAGCAUCCGAACUUGAAGUGUCAACACUGCAAUAAUACGGGUCACGUCAAAGACACAUGCUGGAUUUUACACCCAGAGUUAAAGCCUGAGUUCAUGAAGGACAACAAGGGUGUGCAAAGGAUGAACCGUACUCCACAUCGAGCGAAUCAUGCGUCUACCUCCACCUUCAAUGGGCCAGAUCCACUCAAGAACUUCACAGCGAAUCCAGCUGAACUCAUGAACGAGUUUAUGUCGUAUCUUCAAAGCAAGAAAGGAGGUGCUGGAAGUGAUCGUGCUGAUAGCAUAGAAGAGGGGAACUCGACGGCAUUGCUUGGCAAGUUUGCAGGGUUCCAGGCAGACACGAAACCUGUACCCCAAGAGGACAUGCAAGGUAUCAUGAAAGCCUUUAAAACUGCUCUUAAAAUAAAUAUGUUGCAUGAUUUUUGGGUUGCAAAUUCGGGUGCCACAGAUCAUAUGACCAACCAUGUGUCUAAGUCUCAAAAAUUUGAAAAAUUUGCAAACCCUUCUCAAGUUUCAAUUGCAAAUGGUGAGAAUGUAAAGGUCUUAGGAAAGGAAAAAAUAAAAUUAAUGUCAGACGAAAUUGAAUCAAUGGCUUUAUAUGUUUCUUCUUUCCCAUUUCAACUUCUAUCUGUGGGAAAUAUCACAAAUACCUUGAAUUGCUUAGCCAUUUUUUCUCCUCACAAUGUUAUCUUUCAGGAUUGUGCCACCAAUAAGACGAUUGGUGAAUGGUUUUAUUUAGAUGGUCUCUAUUACAUAUCAAAGAGCAAUCCGAGAAGGUUUCAAGCCAAGCUCAACCCCAUUCAAGAUAAUCAAUUGUGGCAUCAACGUUUAGCUCAUCCUUCUUCACCCAUUUUGUCAACUCUAUUUCCAAACUUAGGAAAGGAUGCUAUUUCAUGUGAAACAUGCCACUUGUCUAAAUCCACUCGACUACCUUUUAACUCUUCCUUGUCUAAAACUAGUAAAUGUUUUGAACUAGUUCAUUCAGAUGUAUGGGGACCAACUAGUGAAUCAUUUGAUGGCUAUAAGUAUUUUGUGAUUUUUGUGGAUGACUUCUCUCGAGUCACAUGGUUAUAUCUCUUAAAGUCUAAGAAUGAAGUUAUGGAAGUUUUUAAGGACUUUCAUAACCUUGUUAAAAACCAUUUCUCCUCUCAAAUUCAAACCUUAAGGUUUGACAAUGGCACCGAAUAUAUGUCCCAUAUCAUGAAACAUUAUUUGAGCACUUAUGGCAUCAUGCAUCAAACAAGUUGUGUUGGAACACCUCAACAAAAUGGUGCAUCCGAACGGAAAAACCGUGACUUACUUGAAAAAACAAGAGCACUAAUGCUACAAAUGAAUAUACCAAAGAGAUUUUGGUCUCAAGGUGUUAUGGUAGCAGUAUAUAUCAUCAAUAGAUUACCCAGCCGAGUCUUGGAAUUCAAGUCUCCACUCGAGGUCAUGAAAGGAAGGAAAAUUGACCUCUCACAUCUUUAGAGUGUUUGGCUGUAUCUGUUUUGUGCAUGUUCAAUCUCUUCACCGAGAUAAAUUAGAUCCUAGAGCUGCCAAAUGUAUUUUUCUUGGUUAUUCCUCUACACAAAAGAGAUAUAAGUGUUAUAAUCCCCAACUAAGGAGAUUGAUUGUGUCCAAAGAUGUGCGAUUUCAUGAAACUAACCCUUUUUUCAGCAAGUCAAGUGAAAUCACAGCCCAAGGGGAUGGCAUCUUGGAUGUGUUCCCACUACCAAGAAUUGAACUAGAGGGACCACAACAACGCGAGCUCAAUUAUGUCAACGUUGAUGCUUCUCCCAAUGAAGAUAGCAAUGAAGGGUCUCACUCUAAGGAUACACUGCAUGACAAUUGUGACAAUCAAGAUGAUGCGAACGAGUGUGAAAUAACUCUUCCAGCUCCUCGACGCAAUCCAAUGCGUGUUAGAAAAACUCCCACAAGACUUCAGGAUUUUGUCAUGUACAAACCCAUACAUCCCAUCUCCAAUUGUGUGUCAUACAAGAGAGUGACACCGGAUCAUGCUGCAUUCCUAAGCACUAUAUCCAGUUACCAGGAGCCUCAGAAUUUCCACGAGGCCAACAGCUAAGAUGUGUGGAAAGAGGCAAUGCAAGAAGAACUUAAAGCUCUAGAUCAACACAAUACCUGGAGCAUCACCAAACUUCCAACAGGCAAGAAAGCAGUGGGUUGCAAAUGGAUUUAUAAACUCAAAUUCAAGUCAGAUGGUUCAAUUGAGAGACAUAAAGUAAGACUGGUGGCUCGGGGAUUCACUCAAACAUUCGAGGUGGAUUACAAAGAAACGUUGCACCUGUGGCCAAAAUGAACACAGUAAGAGUGUUAUUGUUUGUAGUUGUAAACAAAGGAUGGUCCAUGUACCAAAUGGACGUGAAGAACGCAUUCUUGCACGGUGAUCUCAAAGAAGAAGUCUAUAUGAAAUUGCCACCAGGGCAUCCACAAAGCAAUGAACCGAAUGUGGUGUGCAGAUUGCACAAAGCCAUUUAUGGCCUAAAGCAGUCCCCACGAGCUUGGUAUGCCAAACUGAGCUCAGUUCUCACUAGUGUUGGUUUUAAAAGCAGCAACGCCGAUUCCUCAUUAUUUGUUCGCACAUGAGCUGUGGACACAUUAGUUGUGCUGAUUUAUGUUGAUGAUCUGAUAAUUACGGUGAUAAUACUGACGAGAUCUCCACUUUCAAACAAUCUCUCAAACAAAGAUUUGCAAUUAAAGACCUUGGGAUAUUGAAGUACUUUCUUGGUAUAGAAGUGGCAACCUCACACAAGGGAUUGUUUCUUAACCAAAGAAAGUAUGUCUUGGAUUUGCUCAAGGAUGCUAACAUGAACGAUGCUAAACCAGCCACCAAUCAUCUUAACAGUAAGCAAAAACCUAGCUUGAAGGGCACGCCACUCACUGAUAUCACCUAUUAUCAGCAAUUGGUUAGAAAAUUGAUCUACCUCACAAUCACUAGACCCGACAUCACCUAUUCUGUAAGUCUUGUGAGCCAAUUCAUGCACUCCCCGACUCUUGAACAUUUGACUCUGGUUAAACAUAUCUUACGCUACUUAAAAGGUUCAGUGGGUCGUGGUAUCAUCAUGCGGAAGAAUGACAACACUCAAGUCGUAGGGUAUUGUGAUGCUGAUUGGGCAGACAACGCAAUCGAUCGUAAGUCCACCUUCGGCUACUGUACAUUUGUCGGUGGAAACUUGGUCACCUGGAAAAGUAAAAAGUAAACUGUUAUCGCCAGAUCCAGUGCCGAAGCUGAGUACCGUGCAAUGGCUUCCACUGCAUGUGAGUUGAUCUGGCUUAAGGGUCUUAUGUGUGAUUUAGGGUUCCCUGCAACUCUUCCUAUGUCCUUAUUCUGUGACAAUUAGGCAGCCAUGCAUAUAGCAUCUAAUCCCGUGUUUCACGAGAGAACGAAACACAUUGAGAUUGACUGUUAUUUCGUUCGGGCACAGGUGCAGUCGCAGGUAAUUCAGACACGGUAUACACGAAGCUUCGACCAACUGACUGACAUUUUCACCAAGCCAUUGGCUUUUCAUCAGUUUCAAUGGCUUCUGUCCAAGCUUGGAUCCAUAAACCUUAUGGAUCCAGCUUAAGGGGGAGUAUUGGAAGUCGGUUUCUGAAUAUUAAGGGAAGCUUACGGUCCUUAAUUCAAGGGGCUUGUCCUUAGGUUGUCAACUUCUUCCCUUAAUUCAAGGGGUUGUUAUUUAUUUUCCCUAAGCCAAACAACUUCCUUAAUUCAAGGGUGUCAACUUCUUAAUCUAAGUUGUCAACUUCCUUAAUUUAAGGGGCUGUUAUUUAUUUUUCCUAAGCCACCUGUUGUGGAGCAAAGCAAGAGGUUAAUCCUCUUAUAUAUUGUUGUACAAUUGUAAGAGAACUCAUGAGUGAAAUACAAUUCAAUCCUUGAAAAUCAACAUGGUAUCAGAUCAGGAAAUUAACCUGCGUCUGCUAUACUGCUAUUCGAGCGUGUUCAACCCUCAAAAUGUCAGAAGACAAUCCGCUGAUAUCCAAAGCUGAAAGCUCACAGGUGCCUUCCUCCAUGAACGUGCAUGAGGUGGACGUCAACCCAAAUCAAAGAUUAAGCUCAGUCGUG
rnacentral:lncRNA from 1 species